rnacentral:rRNA from 2 species
GUCAUAUGCUUGUCUCAAAGAUUAAGCCAUGCAUGUCUCAGUACAAGCCAAAUUAAGGUGAAACCGCGAAAGGCUCAUUAAAUCAGUUAUGGUUCCUUAGAUCGUACCCACAAUUACUUGGAUAACUGUGGUAAUUCUAGAGCUAAUACAUGCAAACAGAGCUCCGACCGGAGACGGAAGGAGUGCUUUUAUUAGAUCAAAACCAAUCGGUGGCGGGUUCGCUCGUCAUCGUACAACUUGGUGAUUCUGAAUAACUUUACGCUGAUCGCACGGUCAUCGCACCGGCGACGCAUCUUUCAAAUGUCUGCCUUAUCAACUGUCGAUGGUAGGUUCUGCGCCUACCAUGGUUGUAACGGGUAACGGGGAAUCAGGGUUCGAUUCCGGAGAGGGAGCCUGAGAAACGGCUACCACAUCCAAGGAAGGCAGCAGGCGCGCAAAUUACCCACUCCCGGCACGGGGAGGUAGUGACGAAAAAUAACGAUACGGGACUCAUCCGAGGCCCCGUAAUCGGAAUGAGUACACUCUAAACCCUUUAACGAGGAUCAAUUGGAGGGCAAGUCUGGUGCCAGCAGCCGCGGUAAUUCCAGCUCCAAUAGCGUAUAUUAAAGUUGUUGCGGUUAAAAAGCUCGUAGUCGAAUUUGUGUCUCGCGCCGCCGGUUCAUCGUCCGCGGUGUUAACUGGCGAGUCGCGAGACGUCCUGCCGGUGGGCUUAGCUCGCGAGGGCGGCCCAACUCAAUCCUGCCGCGGUGCUCUUCAUUGAGUGUCGAGGUGGGCCGGCACGUUUACUUUGAACAAAUUAGAGUGCUUAAAGCAGGCUAAAACUUCGCCUGAAUACUGUGUGCAUGGAAUAAUGGAAUAGGACCUCGGUUCUAUUUUGUUGGUUUUCGGAACCCCGAGGUAAUGAUUAAUAGGAACGGAUGGGGGCAUUCGUAUUGCGACGUUAGAGGUGAAAUUCUUGGAUCGUCGC